AGUGAACGCUGGCGGUAGGCCUAACACAUGCAAGUCGAACGGCAGCACAGUAAGAGCUUGCUCUUACGGGUGGCGAGUGGCGGACGGGUGAGGAAUGCAUCGGAAUCUACUUUUUCGUGGGGGAUAACGUAGGGAAACUUACGCUAAUACCGCAUACGACCUACGGGUGAAAGCAGGGGAUCUUCGGACCUUGCGCGAUUGAAUGAGCCGAUGUCGGAUUAGCUAGUUGGCGGGGUAAAGGCCCACCAAGGCGACGAUCCGUAGCUGGUCUGAGAGGAUGAUCAGCCACACUGGAACUGAGACACGGUCCAGACUCCUACGGGAGGCAGCAGUGGGGAAUAUUGGACAAUGGGCGCAAGCCUGAUCCAGCCAUACCGCGUGGGUGAAGAAGGUCUUCGGGUUGUAAAGCCCUUUUGUUGGGAAAGAAAAGCAGCAGGUUAAUACCCCGCUGUUCUGACGGUACCCAAAGAAUAAGCACCGGCUAACUUCGUG
rnacentral:rRNA from 1 species